AGGGAAAGGAAGAAUGAGAGAGAGAGAGGGAAGAAGAAGAAAUCCAGAAAGAUGGAUUGCAAGUUUAGUUCACUUGCUCAGCAAGACGAAAGAAAGAGUAA